rnacentral:lncRNA from 10 species
CAGACCACAAUCUGGUUCUACCAAUUUUCUUAAUUCCAGCGGGAUAGAACACUCCUGUAUUUAAUGACAGGACUAUAUACAGCUGUGGAGCUCUCCAUUUCUUGGAAUGCCAGUGAGAACACAGCAUUUCUGUCCUUUGGAAGAUACAGCAACAAGGCACCAUCUUGGAAACAGAGAGAAGCCCUCACCAGACAACCAAACCUGCCAGUGCCUUCAUCUUGGACUUCCCAGCCUCCAGAACUUUGAUAAAUAAAUGUCUGUUCUUUAUAAAUUAUCCAGUUUUAGGAAUUUUGUUAUAGCAGCACAAAUGGACUUAGACAAUAGGGAUGCCAGAUUUAGC